rnacentral:rRNA from 1 species
AUACGUAGGGGGCGAGCGUUGUCCGGAAUGAUUGGGCGUAAAGGGCGCGUAGGCGGCCUGUUAAGUCUGGAGUGAAAGUCCUGUUUUCAAGAUGGGAAUUGCUUUGGAUACUGAUGGGCUUGAGUGCAGGAGAGGUUAUCGGAAUUCCCGGUGUAGCGGUGAAAUGCGUAGAGAUCGGGAGGAACACCAGUGGCGAAGGCGGGUAACUGGACUGCAACUGACGCUGAGGCGCGAAAGUGUGGGGAGCAAACAGGAUUAGAUACCCUGGUAGUCCACACUGUAAACGAUGAAUGCUAGGUGUAAGAGGUAUCGACCCCUUUUGUGCCGGAGUUAACACAAUAAGUAUUCCGCCUGGGGAGUACGGCCGCAAGGUUGAAACUCAAAUGAAUUGGCGGGG